CGAGUAAAUUACAAAAACACCCCUAAUGUUUAUGUUCUAAUUAUUUUCAAUAGUUUGUAAAACCUACAUAUACACUCAGUGAAACUAAUGGUGUUAGUGAAACUAAUGAUGUUAGUGAAACUAUUUGCCUCAUAUAAAAAAGUCAAAAUUGCCCUUGGGUAGGGAGGAGGAUGCACAUGUUUUCUUAUGUCCGUGGUGGCUGUUAUGUCACUUAAAUUUAUUUUGGUCAUUUUUAAUUUUUUUCCUGAUGUGGCUUUUAGGUCUAAUUUAAGGUUAACAGUUUCACUAAUGUUCUGUUAUGGGCUAAAAUGUUGGAUAAAAAUAAACCUCAGAGGCGUAAGCGUAAGUUGUUCAAACUAUUGGGUGUAUGUGUAAUUUACCCCAAAUCUUAAAGGGUUUUUGUAAUUUAUUCUUAUUGUUUUAUUACCUUUAAUUUCAUGUAUCAAACCUUCUUCUUUAUCAUCAUGUAGGUCCCUUGCAAGGUUGUCACAAGCAGCAGCCUAGGCACAUGGGUACACAGAUGCUUGGACGCAAUCGCCUAGGCACCUAGAGCUUUCUAAACCUUCAAUGAUAUAGCCACCCACCUAGCUUGGUGCCAAGUG
rnacentral:lncRNA from 1 species